GAUGAACGCUGGCGGCGUGCCUAAUACAUGCAAGUCGAGCGAACAGACGAGGAGCUUGCUCCUCUGACGUUAGCGGCGGACGGGUGAGUAACACGUGGAUAACCUACCUAUAAGACUGGGAUAACUUCGGGAAACCGGAGCUAAUACCGGAUAAUAUAUUGAACCGCAUGGUUCAAUAGUGAAAGACGGUUUUGCUGUCACUUAUAGAUGGAUCCGCGCCGCAUUAGCUAGUUGGUAAGGUAAAGGCUUACCAAGGCAACGAUGCGUAGCCGACCUGAGAGGGUGAUCGGCCACACUGGAACUGAGACACGGUCCAGACUCCUACGGGAGGCAGCAGUAGGGAAUCUUGCGCAAUGGGCGAAAGCCUGACGGAGCAACGCCGCGUGAGUGAUGAAGGUCUUCGGAUCGUAAAACUCUGUUAUUCGGGAAGAACAAAUGUGUAAGUAACUAUGCACGUCUUGACGGUACCUAAUCAGAAAGCCACGGCUAACUACGUG
rnacentral:rRNA from 1 species